CCAAUGGCCUGCCUUCAGAGCCGCCAGCAAAGGGCCAUCCCGCCAGGCAAACUCUCCUCCCUUGCCACCUUCAACAGGUAGAUCUGCUCCAAACAGAAAGUAAAUUUUGCAGAAAGUUGCCUGGAGCAGGAGAUGGCAUCAGAAGUAUACUGUAAAGGGGCCAAAGAGAUGCAUUCUUCUGUGAUGGGGUCCAGAAGAUAACAAGAUGGAAGAAGUUUCAGACUGAAACAUGAAAUGCAAGAAAUUUAAAAUUUCAUGAAACUGAUGAUCAGCUACACAAGAUCAAGAGUAACCAAAUGUGUGUCACAGAUGAAAUCCAAGUGCUUGCCCAAAUGGGAUCUGGCUUGCCUCUUUGCAAUUUAGCUAUAUAUUCUUCUUUGUGCAGAAAGUGGCUACUUACUACUCGUACUAUCAGCAUUUUACAAGAGCCUCUGCUUUAUCUAGCCUGUUUUAUCUCCACUUUUGAAUUUUAACCACACAUAUUUAUACUUCUGUCCAAAGUCUUGGCUAACAAAAAGUGUUCCAAUUUUAGAAUGUGGUAUUGGUAAACCAUUUCAAAGCAUUUUCAUAAAUGCCUCCUUAACUAACCUAUUUAAAAUAGGGCUCUAAGCCUGUAUGUUGUAAUCCUUAACCAACCUAUUUAAAAUAGGGCUCUAAGCCCAUAUGUUGUAAUCCCCAUUUUGUGGUGUUAUUUUUAUUCACUUAACACAACCUAAAAUUACAGUAUGUAUCUCCUUAUUUAUUGGUUACCUUCACCUCUUGAAUUAAAAGGUCUAUGAGGAGAACCAGGAUUCUGUCUCUUAUUUAUAGCUGUAUCCCUAGUACCUGGGCAACUCAGUAAUUAUUUGUAUAAAAAAUAAGGAACAAAUCACAAAAUGCAAAGUAAAACAUUAAUAUGAUCCUAUUUCAAAACUUUACACAGGGGGCACCUGGGCAGCUCAGUUGUUUGAGCAUCCAAGUUGAUUUCAGCUCGGGUCAUGACCCCAACAUCGUGGGAUCAAGUCCCUCAUUGGUCUGUGCACUGAGGAUGGAGCCCGCUGAAGAUUCUCUCUCCCUCUGCUCCCCUCCCCUACUCACUCUCUCUCCCUCCCUCCCUAUAAAUUAAAAACAAAACAAA